rnacentral:rRNA from 1 species
GCCCAGACAGCCAGGAUGUUGGCUUAGAAGCAGCCAUCAUUUAAAGAAAGCGUAAUAGCUCACUGGUCGAGUCGGCCUGCGCGGAAGAUGUAACGGGGCUAAACCAUGCACCGAAGCUGCGGCAGCGACGCUGAUGCGUUGUUGGGUAGGGGAGCGUUCUGUAAGCCUGUGAAGGUGUGCUGUGAGGCAUGCUGGAGGUAUCAGAAGUGCGAAUGCUGACAUAAGUAACGAUAAAGCGGGUGAAAAGCCCGCUCGCCGGAAGACCAAGGGUUCCUGUCCAACGUUAAUCGGGGCAGGGUGAGUCGACCCCUAAGGCGAGGCCGAAAGGCGUAGUCGAUGGGAAACAGGUUAAUAUUCCUGUACUUGGUGUUACUGCGAAGGGGGGACGGAGAAGGCUAUGUUGGCCGGGCGACGGUUGUCCCGGUUUAAGCGUGUAGGCUGGUUUUCCAGGCAAAUCCGGAAAACUAAGGCUGAGGCGUGAUGACGAGGCACUACGGUGCUGAAGCAACAAAUGCCCUGCUUCCAGGAAAAGCCUCUAAGCAUCAGGUAACAUCAAAUCGUACCCCAAACCGACACAGGUGGUCAGGUAGAGAAUACCAAGGCGCUUGAGAGAACUCGGGUGAAGGAACUAGGCAAAAUGGUGCCGUAACUUCGGGAGAAGGCACGCUGAUAUGUAGGUGAAGUCCCUCGCGGAUGGAGCUGAAAUCAGUCGAAGAUACCAGCUGGCUGCAACUGUUUAUUAAAAACACAGCACUGUGCAAACACGAAAGUGGACGUAUACGGUGUGACGCCUGCCCGGUGCCGGAAGGUUAAUUGAUGGGGUCAGCGCAAGCGAAGCUCUUGAUCGAAGCCCCGGUAAACGGCGGCCGUAACUAUAACGGUCCUAAGGUAGCGAAAUUCCUUGUCGGGUAAGUUCCGACCUGCACGAAUGGCGUAAUGAUGGCCAGGCUGUCUCCACCCGAGACUCAGUGAAAUUGAACUCGCUGUGAAGAUGCAGUGUACCCGCGGCAAGACGGAAAGACCCCGUGAACCUUUACUAUAGCUUGACACUGAACAUUGAGCCUUGAUGUGUAGGAUAGGUGGGAGGCUUUGAAGUGUGGACGCCAGUCUGCAUGGAGCCGACCUUGAAAUACCACCCUUUAAUGUUUGAUGUUCUAACGUUGACCCGUAAUCCGGGUUGCGGACAGUGUCUGGUGGGUAGUUUGACUGGGGCGGUCUCCUCCUAAAGAGUAACGGAGGAGCACGAAGGUUGGCUAAUCCUGGUCGGACAUCAGGAGGUUAGUGCAAUGGCAUAAGCCAGCUUGACUGCGAGCGUGACGGCGCGAGCAGGUGCGAAAGCAGGUCAUAGUGAUCCGGUGGUUCUGAAUGGAAGGGCCAUCGCUCAACGGAUAAAAGGUACUCCGGGGAUAACAGGCUGAUACCGCCCAAGAGUUCAUAUCGACGGCGGUGUUUGGCACCUCGAUGUCGGCUCAUCACAUCCUGGGGCUGAAGUAGGUCCCAAGGGUAUGGCUGUUCGCCAUUUAAAGUGGUACGCGAGCUGGGUUUAGAACGUCGUGAGACAGUUCGGUCCCUAUCUGCCGUGGGCGCUGGAGAACUGAGGGGGGCUGCUCCUAGUACGAGAGGACCGGAGUGGACGCAUCACUGGUGUUCGGGUUGUCAUGCCAAUGGCACUGCCCGGUAGCUAAAUGCGGAAGAGAUAAGUGCUGAAAGCAUCUAAGCACGAAACUUGCCCCGAGAUGAGUUCUCCCUGACUCCUUGAGAGUCCUGAAGGAACGUUGAAG